rnacentral:rRNA from 1 species
AGUGAACGCUGGCGGUAGGCCUAACACAUGCAAGUCGAACGGCAGCACAGUAAGAGCUUGCUCUUACGGGUGGCGAGUGGCGGACGGGUGAGGAAUACAUCGGAAUCUACUUUUUCGUGGGGGAUAACGUAGGGAAACUUACGCUAAUACCGCAUACGACCUACGGGUGAAAGCAGGGGAUCUUCGGACCUUGCGCGAUUGAAUGAGCCGAUGUCGGAUUAGCUAGUUGGCGGGGUAAAGGCCCACCAAGGCGACGAUCCGUAGCUGGUCUGAGAGGAUGAUCAGCCACACUGGAACUGAGGCACGGUCCAGACUCCUACGGGAGGCAGCAGUGGGGAAUAUUGGACAAGGGGCGCAAGCCUGAUCCAGCCAUACCGCGUGGGUGAAGAAGGCCUUCGGGUUGUAAAGCCCUUUUGUUGGGAAAGAAAAGCAGCAGGUUAAUACCCCGCUGUUCUGACGGUACCCAAAGAAUAAGCACCGGCUAACUUCGUG